rnacentral:rRNA from 1 species
UACAGGGGGUGCAAACGUUGCUCGGAAUCAUUGGGCGUAAAGCGCACGUAGGCGGUCUGUUAUGUCGGAUGUGAAAGCCCUUGGCUCAACUGAGGAAGUGCAUCCGAAACUGGCAGGCUAGAGUACUAAAGAGGAUCGCGGAAUUCCCGGUGUAGAGGUGAAAUUCGUAGAUAUCGGGAGGAACACCAGUGGCGAAGGCGGCAACCUGGGCCAAUAUUGACGCUGAGGUGCGAAAGCGUGGGGAGCAAACAGG